rnacentral:rRNA from 1 species
CCUACGGGAGGCAGCAGUGGGGAAUAUUGCACAAUGGGGGAAACCCUGAUGCAGCAACGCCGCGUGAAGGAAGACGGUUUUCGGAUUGUAAACUUCUAUCAAUAGGGAAGAAAGAAAUGACGGUACCUGACUAAGAAGCCCCGGCUAACUACGUGCCAGCAGCCGCGGUAAUACGUAGGGGGCAAGCGUUAUCCGGAUUUACUGGGUGUAAAGGGAGCGUAGGCGGUUUAGCAAGUCAGAAGUGAAAGCCCGGGGCUCAACUCCGGGACUGCUUUUGAAACUGUUGAACUAGAUUGCAGGAGAGGUAAGUGGAAUUCCUAGUGUAGCGGUGAAAUGCGUAGAUAUUAGGAGGAACACCAGUGGCGAAGGCGGCUUACUGGACUGUAAAUGACGCUGAGGCUCGAAAGCGUGGGGAGCAAACAGGAUUAGAUACCCUAGUAGUC